UGUGCUAUAAUGUUUAUAGCAAGGGUAACUUUGGUAAACUGUUAGUUGAUGUUUGUUUGCUUGUUUGUUUCACUAGUUAUCCCUCAUUAAAAAGGGGGUUCUUGCUAAGAAUAUCACCAUCUUCUACAAAAUGUCAGGAAUACACUGUGUUCAUUGCGAAACAGUAGUUACAAUACUAAAAAUACUGCAUCCUCACAAAAGAGCAGUAUUUUUUGAUAGUAGCUUUCACAUAGUGUGUCUGUUUUUAUGUUGGUAUGAUGUAUAGUGGAAGAUCAGAAAACGUCGGCAGGAGGUGGGAGAGAAGGCAAUGCAGAGAUGAAGGACAUCAUACCACAAUAAUAGUUGUGUGUAUAAGCCUGAUCAACAAGUGAAAAGAGUCAGAUAAGAGGAAAGAGUUUGAAAACUGAUUUGAUGACCACUGCUGAAUUGGCCUGCUAAGAGGAAGAGGCACUAAUGAUUCCAGAAGAGGAAGCCAAAGAAGAAGACCUACGCAGACUUUGAAAUGGAUCUCUCAAUUGCCAUGAUGACCAAGAUAUUCAACGGGAAAAUGUGGAAAGCUGCCAUAUUCCCAGUCAUUACUUUGCCAAAUCAUCUGUGCACCACCACUGAGGGACCCUACUUUCCUGAGUACGAAGCCGGCCAUCAAGGAGUUCCCCAACUGGCAACAGACUGGAGCAGAGGCUGUAGCAGGGACAGCAUUUUUUUUUGCUA